UAAUUCCCUCACCCUAGAAACCUCCAUUCAAUCCAUUUAAUUCUAAUUCCUUCACUUCAAUCGCGUUAGAAAACCUUCUCGAGCCUAGAGUUGCUGAAUCCCUCUAAAAGCCAGGCGUCGAUGGCCGUUCCUGGCACCUCUACAUAUCCCCGGCUCUCUAUGCCACGCCGGAGCAAUCGCCCAUACCCGACUACUCCUUCCGCAACCCGCCCUCCCCUUCUCCUUACGUUGCUAAUCACAAGCGUCACGGCGGAGGCAACGUAAGGGUUCCGGAAACUGAGAGUUUUAAUCUGGAUGAGGAGGAGGAUAAAUGUUUGAUUGAGUGCGUAGGCAGUGUUUCUGAGGUGGAUGAAGGGUGUUUCGAUCCCAGGAUUCAGGUUGAUUCAUCCGAUUUCAGCCAGAUUCAAAUGGAGAGCCGCAGCUUCGUCUCAGAACAAGGGGAAUUUUUCGACGCAAUUGAUGAUUUAUGGCAUAGAUAUUCUUACAUAUGAUGGUCGAGGUAGGGUGGAGCUUGAGGAAGGGCUGCUGGUCGAGAGAUUUUUAAUGGAGCAGAUGCUGCCCACCCGAGAAUCAUAUUGCUGACCAGAGUAGAUUGCGCCCAAAAGGUUCUAAUUCGAUGCUUCUCUAUGUUUUUAUGAAAUUAAGACCCUUGAUGUUUUGUGAAAUAGGUUAGGGAUUAAAGAAAUAGGUUUAACUUGUAAUUUUAUUCUGUUAACAUUAAUGUUGAGCAGAUAUUUGUCAUACUAUAUGUUCUUGAUCGUGUCUCCAACGAAAGCACGGGUAUUCAUUAAGACAAUAUUUCGUCAUCUAGUGAUAAGCAUGAUGUAGUUGAGAAUCACCACUGCAUCCUUAUACAAAUUUGUAUUAUGAUGGGGAAAGUCAUUAUGUCAUGGAGUAAUAUACAGUGUGCGGUUGUUCCCCUUCAUAUUUAUUUCAUAUAUAACUUAGAAUAUGUAUUAUUUGGAGUGCUAAUAAUUUUUUUGGUUUACCUUUUUUGACAGAUAUAAGAUGCCUACUCUUGAAAGAGAUAAGCAAUGCACCUACAACUAUGUUUGUCUCUUUUGAAUAGAUUAGGACUUUUACAAAUUUUAGUAGUAUGGUUUUUGUAGUUUUAGAAGUGUAAAAUCAUUAGAUACUUGGGGAUUUUUGUAUAUUUAAAUUUGGCAUUGUAUAUACAUUUUUUUGCUGGA